UGGGUAGUAGCUCAGUUGGUAGACUGCUUGCCUCCCAAGGCCCUGGGUUCAAAUCCCAGCUACACAA
rnacentral:tRNA from 1 species